rnacentral:rRNA from 1 species
UUUUAAUUGGGGGAUGGUAUGAAGGGUGAUAUGAGUAAAAUUAAUGUUUCGGUCACAAUUUUUGAAGUUAAUUUUUAAGUUAAAAAGCUUAAAUAAAGUUUAGGGACAAGAAGACCCUAUAAAGUUUAAUUUUCAAAUUUAAUUUAAUAAAAAUCGUAAAUUUAGUUGGGGCAACAUCAUAAGAAAAAAUUUUAUGAUAAUAUAUUUUUGAUCCACUUAUUAGUGAACAAUGAAUAAAUUACUUUAGGGAUAACAGCACAAUUAAAGUUUUAAAGUUCUUAUUUGCAACUUUGAUUAUGACCUCGAUGUUG